rnacentral:rRNA from 1 species
UACGAAGGGGGCUAGCGUUGUUCGGAAUUACUGGGCGUAAAGCGCACGUAGGCGGGUUGUUAAGUCAGGGGUGAAAUCCUGGAGCUCAACUCCAGAACUGCCUUUGAUACUGGCAACCUAGAGACUGGAAGAGGUUAGUGGAAUUCCCAGUGUAGAGGUGAAAUGCGUAGAUAUCAGGAGGAACACCGGUGGCGAAGGCGGCCCUCUGGACGGAUACUGACGCUGAGGCGCGAAAGCGUGGGGAUCAAACAGG